rnacentral:rRNA from 1 species
CCCCCCCGGCGCGAUGGGCGCCAAGGAACACACCGGUCGGAGGGAGGCGGCGGUGCUCCUAGCUAAUACGGCUUGGAGCGUCCGCCCCGCCCUCCUUUACCGGACACUAUAUAUAAACUUUAUGACUCUCGGCAACGGAUAUCUCGGCUCUCGCAUCGAUGAAGAACGUAGCGAAAUGCGAUACUUGGUGUGAAUUGCAGAAUCCCGCGAACCAUCGAGUUUUUGAACGCAAGUUGCGCCCGAGGCCACCCGGCCGAGGGCACGCCUGCCUGGGCGUCACGCCUCGCGUCGCUCCGCCUACCUCGCCCUGAGCACCCCGUGCUCUUACGGCGGCGGGCGGCGGAUGCGGAGAUUGGCCCUCCGUGCCUUGCGGUGCGGUGGGUCGAAGUGUCGGUCGCCGGCCGGGCGUGGCACGGUGAGUGGUGGACGGACUAGCUCCCGAGCGCCGGACGCCGUGAAAAACCAUCCCGAUGCCGGGUACAUGACAGAGAUGAUAAGAACCCAAACCGAAGGGCGCCGCGCGCCAUCGGAU